GUGGGGAAUAUUGCACAAUGGGCGAAAGCCUGAUGCAGCAACGCCGCGUGAGGGACGACGGCCUUCGGGUUGUAAACCUCUUUUAGUAGGGAAGAAGCGAAAGUGACGGUACCUGCAGAAAAAGCACCGGCUAACUACGUGCCAGCAGCCGCGGUAAUACGUAGGGUGCAAGCGUUAUCCGGAAUUAUUGGGCGUAAAGAGCUCGUAGGCGGUCUGUCGCGUCUGCUGUGAAAACUGGAGGCUCAACCUCCAGCCUGCAGUGGGUACGGGCAGACUAGAGUGCGGUAGGGGAGAUUGGAAUUCCUGGUGUAGCGGUGGAAUGCGCAGAUAUCAGGAGGAACACCGAUGGCGAAGGCAGAUCUCUGGGCCGUAACUGACGCUGAGGAGCGAAAGCGUGGGGAGCGAACAGGAUUAGAAACCCCGUAGUCC
rnacentral:rRNA from 1 species